rnacentral:miRNA from 1 species
GACUUUAGCAACAACGAUUUC